CCCGCAUGACAUCGCCAAAUAACGUACUUCAUCAGAAAGGGCAUCAACUUCUACAUCGAAAAAAACCAAGCGUUCCUCAAAGCCAGACCACCCACACCAAAAGGACCGAGAAAGAGGGGUGAGCAGCUGGUGACGUCGUUCCCCCUGGCCCUGCCGUGUGUGGUAUGUCUGAAGCAGAUAUCAGACGUGACCCUGAAACCGUGCGGACACAAGAUCGUGUGUCAGAGAUGCUGUACCUCAAUACAGAACUGUCCGAUGUGUGAAGAGUACAUCGAAGAGAGAGCUGUUGAUGAUGGUGUUGUCGUUAAUCCGAACCAGUGUAAACUACAAUAACCUUUUAUCAACCGGCAUGGCAAACCCUGGAAAACAGUAUCAACCAGCAUGGCAAACCCUGGAAAACAGUAUCAACCAGCAUGGCAAACCCUGGAAAACAGUAUCAACCAGCAUGGCAAACACUGGAAAACAGUAGUAGCCAGUAUAUCUUUUGAUUUACGAGUGUGGCAAACCCUGGAAACAGUAUGGCAUUAUUAACCAGUGUGGCAAAAGCUGGAACUUUUUCUCUGAUCAGAGACUGUCAUCAAAAACAUUUGUACAAUAAUAUAUUUGAUCAAUGUUUUGAUCUCUCUAUCUCUCUCUCUCUCUCUCUCUCUCUCUCUCUCUCUCGAUGGUAGUUGUUAAUCAGAACUAAUGAAAACUGUAAUAACCUUUUAUCAACCAGUGUGGAAAACAAUAUCAACAAGUAUGGCAUUCUUAACCAGUGUGGCAAACCUUUCUGAACCAGUAUGGCAUUCUUAACCAGUGUAACAAACCCUGCAAACCUUUCUCCAUCAGUAUGACAUUCUUAAUCAGUGUGACAUUCUUAAUCAGUGUGACAAACCCUGCAAACCUUUCUGAACCAGUAUGGCAUUCUUAAUCGGUGUGACAAACCCUGCAAACCUUUCUGAACCAGCAUGGCAUUCUUAACCAGUGUGGUAAACCCUGCAAACCUUUCUCAACCAGUAUGGCAUUCUUAACCAGUGUGGCAAACCCUGGAAACCUUUUUAAAAGAGUAUGGCAAACCAUGAAAACUUUUUCAACUCAGGGCUAGAACAUUUCGCUAAAUCAUAUUUAAACUUCACAAAUUGCGAAAACCCAAUUAUUUUCUAACAAAAUAACAAUUAUUACAUGAAAUUUAUUCGCCAAAUUAAAAUAAAAUUCACCAGUUUUGUGAGUGCCAAAGCUAGCCGUGUCAACUAGUAUGGUAUUCGUAACCAGUGUGGCAAAUUAUGGAAAGUGUACAUCACAUAGCAAACCAUGGAAAACUUGUCAAUCAGUUUAUCAUUCCUGUGACAUUUUUUUUCAAGUGUGGCAAAUCGUGAAUAUCUCAAUAAUGUUUGUGCCUCACACCUCCCCAACUUGAUCAGUUGUGGAACAGUCCUUAGUUAUUUUGGCCCACCAAUAAAAAGCAAUUUAUAUUAUUGGUGUCGUGGUUAGGCCAUCGGACAUAAGGCAGGUAGGUACAGGGUUCGCAGCCCGGUACUGGCUCCCACCCAGAGCAAGUUUUAACAACUCAAUGGGUAAGUGUAAGACCAUUACACCCUCUUCUCUCUCACUAACUACUAACAACUAACCCACUGUCCUAGACAGACAGCCCAUAUAGCUAAGGUAUAUUAUUAAUUAAAAAUAAUCAUAAUAUAUAAUUAUAAAUACUACCACUCUCUACAUUUUGUUCGGACUGUAUUUCAAAGUUUAGAUACAUGUACAGCUAAAAAAUGUGUGUUGGUAAGUUUUAUGAACUGGUUGUUUUGCAGCCAACAAUAAUUAUAUAGGAGAAACUGGGCUGUAUGAAUAUUUUCAGUUGUUACGAUUGCCAUAAGGGGUGGGAUUUUGUUCAGUACAGUAUUAGCCUGAGAUGCUUGCAUCACAAGAUCAAAUCUUCUCAAAGGAAUCAUUCUGUGAUUCGUCUUUUUCCUUAUCCCAACCAGUGCCCCAUGACUGGUAUAUCAAAGGCUGUAGUAUGUGCUGUCCUGUCUGUGGAAAAAGUGCCUAUAAAAGAUCCCUUGCUGCUAAUGGAAAAAUGUUGCGGGUUUCCUCCGA
rnacentral:lncRNA from 1 species